GACUCUUAGUGGUGAAUCACUCGGCUCGUGCAUCGAAGAACGCAGCUAGCUGCGAGAAUUAAUGUGAAUUGCAGGACACAUUGAUCAUCGACACUUGAAGGCACUUUUGGCCCCAGGUUCCUCCCGUGUCUACGCCUGUCUACGCCUGU
rnacentral:rRNA from 1 species